AGUCUCAUACGGUAAAGCGAAUGAUUAGAGGCCUUGGGGUCGAAACGACCUCAACCUAUUCUCAAACUUUAAAUGGGUGAGAACUCGGGCUUUCUUAAAUGAAG
rnacentral:rRNA from 1 species